rnacentral:rRNA from 1 species
GAUGAACGCUGGCGGCGUGCUUAACACAUGCAAGUCGAACGAAGCACCUUGAUUUCUUCGGAUUGAUUGGUGACUGAGUGGCGGACGGGUGAGUAACGCGUGGGUAACCUGCCUCACACAGGGGGAUAACAGUUAGAAAUGACUGCUAAUACCGCAUAAGACCACAGCACCGCAUGGCAAAGCGAUAAAAACUCCGGUGGUGUGAGAUGGACCCGUGUCUGAUUAGCUAGUUGGUGAGGUAACGGCCCAGCAAGGCGACGAUCAGUAGCCGACCUGAGAGGGUGACCGGCGACAUUGGGACUGAGACACGGCCCAAACUCCUACGGGAGGCAGCAGUGGGGAAUAUUGCACAAUGGGCGAAAGCCUGAUGCAGCGACGCCGCGUGAAGGAUGAAGUAUUUCGGUAUGUAAACUUCUAUCCGCAGGGAAGAAAAUGACGGUACCUGACUAAGAAGCCCCGGCUAACUACGUGCCAGCAGCCGCGGUAAGAC